rnacentral:rRNA from 1 species
GACGAACCGAGCGAACGUUGUUCGGAGUCACUGGGCUUAAAGGGCGCGUAGGCGGGCUGUCAAGUCUGGGGUGAAAUCCCACGGCUCAACCGUGGAACUGCCUUAGAUACUGACGGCCUCGAGGGAGAUAGGGGCGAGCGGAACUGUGAGUGGAGCGGUGAAAUGCGUUGAUAUUCACAGGAACUCCGGUGGCGAAGGCGGCUCGCUGGAUCUUUUCUGACGCUGAGGCGCGAAAGCUAGGGGAGCAAACGGG